UUGUAAAGUACUUUCAGCAGUGAGGAAGUGGGUAUGUUAAUAGCAUACUCAUUUGACGUUAGCUGCAGAAGAAGCACCGGCUAACUCCAUGCCAGCAGCCGCGGUAAUACGGAGGGUGCGAGCGUUAAUCGGAAUUACUGGGCGUAAAAGCGCAUGCAGGUGGUUUGUUAAGUCAGAUGUGAAAGCCCGGGGCUCAACCUCGGAAUUGCAUUUGAAAACUGGCAAACUAGAGUACUGUAGAGGGGGUAGAAUUUCAGGUGUAGCGGUGAAAUGCGUAGAGAUCUGAAGGAAUACCGGUGGCGAAGGCGGCCCCCUGGACAGAUACUGACACUCAGAUGCGAAAGCGUGGGGAGCAAACAGGAUUAGAUACCCUGGUAG
rnacentral:rRNA from 1 species